UCUGGAGCCUCAAAAUCUCUGCCUCAUCAAUUACCAGGCAUUUCUCAGCCUGGGCUCCAUAGUGCAGGCUCCCUGGAAGCCUCAGACACAUGACAGAUCUCAGCUCUUCUCCGCAAGGAGCAUGGACUCUAUUUCCACUCCUUGCUCUCCUUUUCAGGAUCUCCGCUACUACAGGCCCUCUGCUCAGUCACAUCCCCUCUGAGGUCUUUGGAUGCUAAGCUGGUUUGGAAAAGAAGACACUUGAUUGUCAAGUCAGGCUCCCAGCACAUCUUAGAAAUUACUGACAUCUGCUGGACAGUCAGUAGGAUCUGAGCAGAAGCCUUUGCUCUAUGUGUGAUGGUCCCAAGAUACUGGUUUCUAGACUGGGGUAGGCAUGGAGAGCUUGCCGCGCCCUGCAGAGUGCUGUGUUUCUCCCCACAGAGAACAAACUUCAGACUCUCCAGCCAACUUCAAAGACAAAGGCCAGAAUGGUGAAAAUGAAUGCAAGAUCAGCAGACAGAACAGGGAACAUUAAGAGGGCUGGAAUUGUUUCCAGAUCCUGCAUCGUCCCAGCAGUUCUCUUUCUGGGAACUUCUUGGUUUCCAGUAUCACCCAUGCAAUGUGCUUCCAAGAACUGAAUGCAAUAUUCAGCUAUGGAUGAUGUGCAAGGUUUCUGAUGGCAUAGUUGCAGUUCAUGUGAGUUCUGUAAAGAAGUUCAUGUAACUGGUUCUCCAGCUAUAAAAGGUGCCAAACCAAAAUUUCACAUCCCAAUCUGCUCUUCUGAAGGUCAACUUGGGGAGAUUUCCUGACAGUUUUGGGAAAGACAGCUGUUCUAAGUGGCUUCAGUGGGUUAGAUCUUCCCCUAGCAGGUAUCGAGCCAGUGCCCCCUGCAUUUAACCACUGGACAACCAGGGAAGUCCUAUGCAUUACCUUUCUAUGCCAAUAGCAUGACACUAGCUCUCUGCUUUUUUCCAUCAGGGAGAAAAAUCUAUUUCUACUAAGAGUUAGUAGAAAGAAGUGAUAAAAUAAAUCUAAAAACUUAAAUCCCAAAGCCAAACUUAAAAAAAAAAAAUUAUCUAAAUAUCUCAGUGGAAAAUUACAGUGGAAGGUGAGAUGCUAAAAUUAAAAUUACAAAAGAAGGAAAAUAAUUACUGACCUUGCUGUGAACUUGAAUCCAAGCAUGUAAGGCACAUACAACCUCUCCACUGUGUUUUAUCCUCUUCCAUUAGACAAAUGACCAUUUUAAGCUUUCACUGGUUUGGUCAAG